rnacentral:rRNA from 1 species
GACGAACGCUGGCGGCGUGCUUAACACAUGCAAGUCGAACGGAAAGGCCCUGCUUUUGUGGGGUGCUCGAGUGGCGAACGGGUGAGUAACACGUGAGUAACCUGCCCUUGACUUUGGGAUAACUUCAGGAAACUGGGGCUAAUACCGGAUAGGAGCUCCUGCUGCAUGGUGGGGGAUGGAAAGUUUCGGCGGUUGGGGAUGGACUCGCGGCUUAUCAGCUUGUUGGUGGGGUAGUGGCUUACCAAGGCUGUGACGGGUAGCCGGCCUGAGAGGGUGACCGGCCACAUUGGGACUGAGGUACGGCCCAGACGCCUACGGGAGGCAGCGGUGGGGAAUAUUGCACAAUGGGCGGAAGCCAGAGGCAGCAACGCCGCGUGCGGGAUGACGGCCUUCGGGGUGUAAACCGCUUUCGCCUGAGACGAAGCGUGAGUGACGGUAAUGGGUAAAGAAGCACCGGCUAACUACGUG